AAGUGAAAUUUAGUUUUCCCUCGUAUAAUAAUGGGGAUAUGGCCCAUGAGUCUCUACCCGGCUGCCGUAAAUGGCCGGACUAUGAGGGAAAGUAGUUUAUAG
rfam:Bacillus subterraneus strain MITOT1 contig_23, whole genome shotgun sequence.